rnacentral:rRNA from 1 species
UACGGCUCAGUAACACGUGGACAACCUGCCCUUAGGACGGGGAUAAACCCGGGAAACUGGGUAUAAUACCCGAUAGGUCUCGAUUGCUGGAAUGCAUCGAGAUUUAAAGCUCCGGCGCCUAAGGAUGGGUCUGCGGCCUAUCAGGUAGUAGUGGGUGUAGCGUACCUACUAGCCUACGACGGGUACGAGUUGUGAGAGCAAGAGCCCGGAGAUGGAUUCUGAGACACGAAUCCAGGCCCUACGGGGUGCAGCAGGCGCGAAAACUUUACAAUGCUGGCAACAGCGAUAAGGGAACCUCGAGUGCCAGGUUACAAAUCUGGCUGUCGAGAUGCCUAAAAAGCAUUUCAUAGCAAGGGCCGGGCAAGACCGGUGCCAGCCGCCGCGGUAACACCGGCGGCUCGAGUGGUAACCGUUAUUAUUGGGUCUAAAGGGUCUGUAGCCGGCCGGAUAAGUCUCUUGAGAAAUCUGGCAGCUUAACUGUCAGGCUUUCAGGAGAUACUGUCUGGCUCGAGGCCGGGAGAGGUGAGAGGUACUUCAGGGGUAGGGGUGAAAUCUUGUAAUCCUUGAAGGACCACCAGUGGCGAAGGCGUCUCACCAGAACGGACCUGACGGCAAGGGACGAAAGCUAGGGGCACGAACCGGAUUAGAUACCCGGGUAGUCCUAGCCGUAAACGAUACUCGCUAGGUGUCGGCCACGGUGCGACCGUUGUCGGUGCCGUAGGGAAGCCGUGAAGCGAGCCACCUGGGAAGUACGGCCGCAAGGCUGAAACUUAAAGGAAUUGGCGGGGGAGCAC